CUUUGCACAGAGAAGAAUCUUUGAACAGACUGUAAAAUAAAAUCGCACAUACAGCACAUGGGCUGAACCAAUUCAAGAACUUCGCACGACUGGAAAACCAUUUGGGCAUGCAGUUCAAUCGUUCGGUGAUAUCUGCCAUGGGAGUCCCGCAGCGCAGGCAGCAGGUGCGACGACGGCCAGCCAUCUGGAUGCUGUCGUUCUCGAUGAUGAAAUGGUAGCGCUUGCCGCACACCGGGUGCCCACUCCAUCCUGCAACAGCGCACAGAUGCAUUAGAAAAUGAGAUUCCAUCACCGCUACUGUAUGAUUGUGACAAUCAGGAGAACGAAAAUAAUCAUGCACAUUGUUCGCUCAAAAGCAACACCCCAACAAUAAAAUUUGAUAACAGUUGGCCUAAAAAAAUACAGGAAAACAUGCGAUGCCAUACAGGCGGCAUUUACCUGUCACUCGAAAAAAAUCAAACACUCGCAAAAUAAUUAAAAAAUUAAAUCAAUAUAAAUAAUAAAAAGACAAACAGGACAUUAUUCAACAAAAAGUUUUCCAACAGAAAAAAACACAAUUUUAUACGAGGAAAACAAUGUUCUGAGA